UCGCCUGUUUUACAAAAACAUAGUUUAAGGAAAUAAUCUUAAAUGAAUUCUGCCCAGUGAUUUUUUUUUAAAUGGCCGCAGUACCUUGACUGUGCUAAGGUAGCAUAAUCAAUUGGCUUCUAAUUAAAGUCUGGAAUGAAAGGAAAUAUGAAGUAAUUCUAUCUUAAAGGAUUUUUUUUGAAUUUAUUUAAAUGAUGAAAAUAUCAUUUUAUAGAAAAAAGACGAGAAGACCCUUAGAGUUUUGAUAUUUAUAUAUUUUUGUUGGGGCGACAGGUAAACAUAUAACUUUACGAAUUAUCAUUGAUCGAUUUUUUAUAAGAAUAAUAAAACUACCUUAGGGAUAACAGCAUUAUAUUUUUUUUUAUGAUUGUGACCUCGAUGUUGGACUAGGAACUUUAUGGCUAGCCGUCAAAAAAGAUUUGUCGCCGAACAUAAUCA
rnacentral:rRNA from 1 species